AAACUCAUGUAACCCUUGAAGCUGGUUUUUGGGGCCAUUGUUCAACACUGCAAGGAAUUCCAGUACGGACUGUAUGUUUGAGUACAUCAGGGUCCAUGCUAGAAGUUAGAGAUGCUUUCCUUAGCUUUUCUGGGGGAUAAGCAUCUAUGCCUCCACUACGUGCUCUCUGGCUGUGAUAGCCUCGGCAAGUUGGAGAUUAGAGACUGCCCCUUUGGCGAUGACGGUGCAAAGCUGGAGG
rnacentral:misc_RNA from 1 species